AUGAACUUGUAUUGCUGCAGUACUGAGAACAUUCUAACUGUCAGGCACGGGAACUGCACUGCUUCAGUCCAGAAAGCUCUGCAGAGGGUGGAGAAAACCAAUGCAUCUCAGGAAUUCCACUUAUACUCAAGAGAACAUUUACAGAGCCGGUGACCAGCAUCCGGACAGCCCUUUCUGAUCUCUACCUGGAGCAGCUCCUUCAGAACAAACCGAAGGUGGACAAGGUGAGCUUUCUGUCGGGUUUCCGCCGUGUUUGUUUUCGUUUUUCGGGGCUUGCUCGUGUGCUUCCGGGAAGCAGAUAAAACGGGCUACAAAAUUGUGUGCAACAUCCCAGGAUAUAAAAAUAGACCCCCGGAGAAGUUUCUGUUGCGCAAACUGGUAUAGGUCAGCUUUUUGCAGUCUUAAAAAAAUGAUGUGGGCACUGAGUUGACAAUUUCACUUCGUCUUUCCCUCACAUGUGAACGUGGUCCAACAGGGUGGUGUUGUGGGAGAAAUGCCCCCCUUCUCAAAGUUGAUCACGAAUCCUUGGGACGUUUGAGUCGCAUUGAUCUGUGGAGCUGCAUCUGCAGUUUUCCCUCAUCAUGAUUUGCUUGUUUCCUAAUCUGUUGGUGGGAUUAGAAAAAGGAAAAAAAAUCUGUUUUGAACUUUAAAUCUGGUGAAAAGUUGCACAAAAAGGAUUAAAAAGGUACAUCGGCUACAAAUUUAUUAAAGCAGGAGUUUUCAUGACAAGGGCAACUUUUCUUUUGUUCUGCAAAUCUCUGCUUUUUUGAAAAGUCAGCAUUCAGACUGUUCUAGGGACAGAAAAGACGGAAAGCACUUCCCUGAUAUCAGCAGUUUGCAAGUGUGUAACCUGAAGUUGCAGUCACACUUGUGAGGUAGCACUGAUUGCAAAUCAGCUUAUCCUACUUUAGUCUGUAAAAGACACAAUCAUGUUGUUUUUUUUUUUUUUUUUCUUUUUGUAUAGUUGCUCAAAAUUUAAGUUACAAGUUAGUCUGAUGUGCCUCCCCAGGCUCCAUCUGAGGCUUGUUUUGCAGCUCUGAUCCUCUGAUCUUCACUUGCACUACAGGCUUCAACUGUCCUUUGACCUACAUAGACUUAAAUGGAGACUGUUUAGGUCUUAACUAGUCCUAAACAUACUUUCAAGUCACAUCUGGUUACUCCAGCUGACUGAGAUCUAAGGUGUCUCUUGGACCUGAGGUUUUCUUUGAAAAACAGACACAUUUUUGUUCUAAUAUUUGAAAAUAUAUUUUAUUUGGAGUGUUUUGGGAGUUUUAAAUGUGACUUAUGAAGCGCGCCUGACUCAAAAUGAAGGCUGGGCACCACCAGACAGAUCAGUAGAAGAUGGAAUGUUGCCGUUGAACAUCAACAAGCCUUAAGGCCAAGUUUGUUCUGAGAAUUUGGACUCUUUUGACUCGGGUUAUCUUGAUUUCUUAUUGACUCAGUUCUAAAUAGAGAGGACACCACAACACCCCCACCGUGGGUCAUGCUUUCUGAAUGGACUGUUUGGUCCAGAGCAGAGCAUGCUGGGAUUGCUUGCUUGCCUUAAAAGUGGGAAAGCUAAGUUAUACUUCAGAGCAAAGAAGUUGAGUUGCAAGUGGAUCCUGGUGUGGUUCACUUCAGUGUGAAAUGCAGAUGGGCUGUGCAAGGAAUCGGUGAGGAGAACAACUGGCAAACGUUAACAUUUCAUUGCUUAAAAACAGAAACACACAAAUCCAACUGCAAAAGCUUUUAAAAACGUCACGUAAACAUGAUCUAAAUGUGCAUAUAUGUGAGAUUUUAUAGUAAUUGAGUGAUGAUUGGUGACAGUUUGGUUCACCCUCAUGACCGCAGUGAGAACACCAACUCAACAUUUUCUAAACCAAAUGUGUCAAAAUUACAAUGUUUCCUUGUUUAUCACAGGGGUUAUGUUCUAAAAAAUAACCCACAAUAGGUGAAAUGUACAGAUGAUUUGCGGCUGUAAAACCCCUCAAUACACACUUUAUACACUUUCAGGCAUGAAUAUUUUCCCACUUUCCUCUCUUGUUUAAACACUCAAAGUUCAAACCUUCAUUAGUAAAACACGCCCGGUUUUUAAAGAAUGACAACAGAAAUCUUCUCCCGAUAAGAGAUUUGUGUAGAUUUACACAGGAGACACGGCACAGAGGAGACUGAUUGACGAGGUCUGUAGCCAAUCAGGAUGCAGAACACAGCUUGCUGUAAAAAAAAAAAAAAACAUCCAAAAUUGCACCGCUAAAGGUGAAGCGUG
rnacentral:lncRNA from 1 species